rnacentral:lncRNA from 1 species
AAAGAAUCACUUUUUCUAAGUAUGUCGGAGUGAUUGAGCAGAGAGAAAAAUGAAUACCCUAAGCGAACUAGAAAUCUGGAAAGAACCGAAAUAGAGGCAGUGUCUCAUGACACUUUACUUGAGGACUCACCUGAUGAACUGCUGAUCAACUCUAUAGAUUCCUUCACCUAACCAGAACUGACUUCAUCAGAGAGUUAUGAUGGUUAACUCUAUCAGUCUUCUACCUGAAUGCCCCAAGAUAUUGAUGAAGUCAACAAAAACAUUGAGCCUCAGAACACAAGAAAUCUUGGACAAACUGGGAGACAGCUUGUCAGUAUCUAAGGGUUCAGAUAUCUCCAACCAAAGAACAAGUCAGCCAUGCUAUAAGUGCCUUGAAAUCAAGUUCUAAGUGAUCUGUUGCCCUUCUCUUGCCUCUACCUGCUUACAGAGAAAAGAGCAGGUCUCAUGGUGAUAUCAACUUAACACUGCAGUAACAAGAUGCAAUAAGAGGAGACAUAAACUCUCACAUCAAGGCUUGAAGAAGUAACCCAGCAG